AUGAACGCUGGCGGCGUGCCUAAUACAUGCAAGUCGAGCGAACAGACGAGGAGCUUGCUCCUCUGACGUUAGCGGCGGACGGGUGAGUAACACGUGGAUAACCUACCUAUAAGACUGGGAUAACUUCGGGAAACCGGAGCUAAUACCGGAUAAUAUAUUGAACCGCAUGGUUCAAUAGUGAAAGACGGUUUUGCUGUCACUUAUAGAUGGAUCCGCGCCGCAUUAGCUAGUUGGUAAGGUAACGGCUUACCAAGGCGACGAUGCGUAGCCGACCUGAGAGGGGGGUAGGCCACACGGGAGGUGAGACACGGUCAAGACGCCUGAGGGAGGGAGCAGUAGGGAAUCGUCGGCAAUGGGCGGAAGCAUGACGGAGCGAGGGGGAGUGAGUGGUAGAGGUGUUCGGAGCGUAAUGAUGGGUUAUUAGGGAAAAACAAAUUUGGAAGGAGAUGUGGAGGGAUUGACGGUAACGGGUCAGGAAGCCACGGCUAACUACGUG
rnacentral:rRNA from 1 species